AGCGAACGCUGGCGGCAGGCUUAACACAUGCAAGUCGAGCGGGCACUUUCGGGUGUCCGCGGCGGACGGGUGAGUAACGCGUGGGAACGUGCCCUCUGGUUCGGAAUAACUCAGGGAAACUUGAGCUAAUACCGGAUACGCCCUUUUGGGGAAAGGCUUGCUGCCGGAGGAUCGGCCCGCGUCUGAUUAGCUAGUUGGUGAGGUAACGGCUCACCAAGGCGACGAUCAGUAGCUGGUCUGAGAGGAUGAUCAGCCACACUGGGACUGAGACACGGCCCAGACUCCUACGGGAGGCAGCAGUGGGGAAUAUUGGACAAUGGGUGCAAGCCUGAUCCAGCCAUGCCGCGUGAGUGAUGAAGGCCUUAGGGUUGUAAAGCUCUUUUAUCCGGGACGAUAAUGACGGUACCGGAGGAAUAAGCCCCGGCUAACUUCGUG
rnacentral:rRNA from 1 species